rnacentral:rRNA from 1 species
UGGGGAAUAUUGGACAAUGGGCGCAAGCCUGAUCCAGCCAUGCCGCGUGAAUGAUGAAGGCCUUAGGGUUGUAAAAUUCUUUCGCCAGGGAUGAUAAUGACAGUACCUGGUAAAGAAGCCCCGGCUAACUUCGUGCCAGCAGCCGCGGUAAUACGAAGGGGGCUAGCGUUGUUCGGAAUUACUGGGCGUAAAGCGCGCGUAGGCGGACUUUUAAGUCAGAUGUGAAAUCCCGAGGCUCAACCUCGGAACUGCAUUUGAAACUGGGAGUCUAGAGUUCAGGAGAGGUUAGCGGAAUACCGAGUGUAGAGGUGAAAUUCGUAGAUAUUCGGUGGAACACCAGUGGCGAAGGCGGCUAACUGGACUGAUACUGACGCUGAGGUGCGAAAGUGUGGGGAGCAAACAGGAUUAGAUACCCCCGUAGUCC